GCAGACGCUUAACGACUGAGCCACCCAGGCGCCCCAAAAGAAACUUUUGCUGGCUUAAGAAACUCUUAUGGGCCUUUAUAUUUUCUACAAAUCGCAUUUGGAAAUGGAAUAAGUUGUUCUAUUAUGUCUCUUCUCUCAUUUUAGGCAGCUAGAAAAAUCCAGGUGUCAUCCUCAACACUGCCCAGAAGUCUUAGCUAGAUCAUUACGUUUGUUGCCUUUAAAUAUUGGAACGCAUGUGCCUCUGAGUUUCUUCAACCACUGGAGUGGGUUUCCAGCCCCAUCACAUCCCGGUCUGGGGACACUCCCGUAAGACCUUUCUGAACAGUCGCAGGCCGGGCCGGUCCGGGGCCGCACCGCUGAGCCUCACGUCUCCUUCCCCUGCGGAGAGAGAGCACAAGCAGGGGGAGCAGCAGAGGGAG